CACUCCCAGUCCCAGAGAGUCAGCCUAUAGUACACAGUGAGGCAGGCUCGCCCGCCGCCCACUUCAGCACUAGUCGUUGGGUAUUGGCUGCCAGCCCAGGAGAGGAUCGGUCGCGUGGGACUCCCCAACUCUGCUUAUUUGCUAUACACAAGUGACUAAACUGGAGAUAGAGCCAGCAGCUUGGUUCACAAGACCGGAUAUACACACGCCUGCUCACCUUAAAGCUGGCUGUGAUAUAGUCAAUUGAUAUGACUAUCAAACUAAGGCAACAUUGGGCAGAUCCAUCCAUUUGGAGGGAGAGCUGAACAACAAGAUUAACGUGUCUCUUUUCUGAUGAACACACCUGAAAGCCAAUUGGCCAAGAAGAUUUAGAAGUACGGAUCAAGAGUCUUCAGUGGCACUAUACUGAGGUUGCUUUCAGGGCACUUUAUUGUCUGCACAGAAUAUCCUGACAGAUGAAAUGAGAGAGCUGUUUUCACAGAUGAAACCAGUGAGGAGCGGAUCAUGUCUGCUCUGUGUUCUCUCCAGUUGUGAAAGUGAAGACAUUAUUGCUAUUCUAUACUGCUGACUUUUAUAAAAAAAAAUUUACAUAAUAAAGGA